rnacentral:rRNA from 1 species
UACAGAGGUCCCAAGCGUUGUCCGGAAUUAUUGGGCGUAAAGAGCUCGUAGGUGGCGGGUCACGUCGGGUGUGAAAAGCCCGGGGGCUUAACCCCCGGGUCUGCAUUCGAUACGGGCCUGCUAGGGUCCGGCAGGGGGAGACUGGAAUUCCUGGUGUAGCGGUGAAAUGCGCAGAGUAUCAGGGAGGAAACACCCGGGUGGCGAAAGGCGGGGUCUCUGGGGCCGGUACCGACGCUGAGGAGCGAAAAGCGUGGGGGAGCGAACAGG